CAGCUAACGCAGACAUCGCAGUUCGGAGUAAGACACGCAGGCUGGCUGAGGCUGCAGGCUCUGAGACUAUCUUGUGCACCUAGGUCCCAUGCCAGAGCUGACCCACGGCAGCGAAAUAACGAGGUCCUAAUAGGAGCAGCAGGUCAGGGCUUUGUGAGUCAGCGCUUGCUCUCUGCACGGCUACAACAGUCACCAUCCAGCUUAUACUACAGAGUGCAUUUGUAUUCUCUAUUUUUGGAGUGCUUAAGGAGGUGAUCUGGGGAGGACAGGAAGCACUCGUCCUUCACUUUCUGUCCAGCCAGGCACUCAGUUCCCUAGGGUGUAGAGGAAGAUGGAAAGGUUGACCAUGUUGUAAGGGCCAAGCGCCGGGGCACCUGCUUUCUGCAGCCACCAGAUGUGGCCCUGAGCACAGAUGAGAAGACUACGACAGCUAUUUGCAUGUGCAAAAAUGAAAGUCGUUAUGAAAAAUCUGUAUAAAUCCCAUGAGCUCAUCUGCACAUACUUGCUGGCUGUCAUGAGUUGGGCUUGCUUUCCUAGGAAGAUCAAUGCAAUGCAAGGCCAACUUGGAUCAAUUGUAAUUAUACCCCUACAUUGAAAAAUUAUGGAAGAGAAAGCGGCCCUUCUCUAUCUGUGCUAUUGCUAGCCUGCACUGCAAGCCUCCACACACCACUGUUAUGGGGACUACGCAGAGUAACUUGCCUGGUGUUUGGCCACAAUUCUACCCUAUUUGCUUCCCUCCACCAGAACCAGGAGACCUGUCUUUCUCCCUCUUUUAAGCGAGAGGAAAAUCCUGCCUGAGGAUAACGGUCACUGCUGUAGCCCUGGUGGUGCGAUGAUACAAACGCAGCAAGGCUCAGGAGGAGAUGCAGAUCUUCUGUAUUGCCAGCUGAUGCUACGGGAACUCCAGAAAACUUCAAAAGCAAACACUUGUUUUCAGGCUCAAAGCAGAAAGUGGGGGGAGAGCUGAUUUUAGAUGCUUCUUUUUAGCAUUGUGAUGUCUCAGAAAGCCUCAAUUCUAGUGUUAAUAAUUGCUCAUUAGCCUCUGCACAGACUGCCAUACUACUACUACUUUUAGCUGCUGACAAGCAAAUCCAUACUGAGACUAGACCAGUGUUCCCAGAGAUCACCAUUCUCCUGCCCGGUUCAUCUGGACCCUUGCCCGCACCCCAACCAUACCCUUAAUCCUACCCCCAGCCCAGCCUCUGCUCAGCAGCUGCUGUCGGAAUUGAAAGGCAGCCUGCAAAAACAAAGCACCAAGGUCUGAUUUCUCUAUGGAAACCUGAAUGUCCCCCCCAUUAUGUCCGCAACUUACCUAAAGUUUCCAACCAUCACAUACAAAACACAAACAGCCAAACCCGACUACCAGGUUCAUUGAUGAAACAGAGGGAAAUUUGACCUGAUAAAGUUAUUUUCCUGCCUA